GUACACUCCUGCGGGAGGCAGCAGUGGGGAAUUUUGGACAAUGGGCGAAAGCCUGAUCCAGCAAUGCCGCGUGCAGGAUGAAGGCCUUCGGGUUGUAAACUGCUUUUGUACGGAACGAAAAAGCUCCUUCUAAUACAGGGGGCCCAUGACGGUACCGUAAGAAUAAGCACCGGCUAACUACGUGCCAGCAGCCGCGGUAAUACGUAGGGUGCGAGCGUUAAUCGGAAUUACUGGGCGUAAAGCGUGCGCAGGCGGUUAUGUAAGACAGAUGUGGAAUCCCCGGGCUCAACCUGGGAACUGCAUUUGUGACUGCAUGGCUAGAGUACGGUAGAGGGGGAUGGAAUUCCGCGUGUAGCAGUGAAAUGCGUAGAUAUGCGGAGGAACACCGAUGGCGAAGGCAAUCCCCUGGACCUGUACUGACGCUCAUGCACGAAAGCGUGGGGAGCAAACAGGAUUAGAUACCCUUGUAGUCCCAUGA
rnacentral:rRNA from 1 species